rnacentral:rRNA from 1 species
AUCAUGGCUCAGGACGAACGCUGGCGGCGUGCCUAAUACAUGCAAGUCGAGCGGAUCGAUGGGAGCUUGCUCCCUGAGAUCAGCGGCGGACGGGUGAGUAACACGUGGGUAACCUGCCUGUAAGAUUGGGAUAACUCCGGGAAACCGGGGCUAAUACCGGAUAACACCUACCCCCGCAUGGGGGAAGGUUGAAAGGUGGCUUCGGCUAUCACUUACAGAUGGACCCGCGGCGCAUUAGCUAGUUGGUGAGGUAACGGCUCACCAAGGCGACGAUGCGUAGCCGACCUGAGAGGGUGAUCGGCCACACUGGGACUGAGACACGGCCCAGACUCCUACGGGAGACAGCAGUAGGGAAUCUUCCGCAAUGGACGAAAGUCUGACGGAGCAACGCCGCGUGAGUGAAGAAGGUUUUCGGAUCGUAAAACUCUGUUGUUAGGGAAGAACAAGUGCCGUUCGAAUAGGGCGGCGCCUUGACGGUACCUAACCAGAAAGCCACGGCUAACUACGUGCCAGCAGCCGCGGUAAUACGUAGGUGGCAAGCGUUGUCCGGAAUUAUUGGGCGUAAAGCGCGCGCAGGUGGUUUCUUAAGUCUGAUGUGAAAGCCCACGGCU